ensembl:lincRNA
AGAAUAAAUGAUUCCCUGAUGCAGAUAUUUAAUGCAAACAGGCAAAGAUGUGAUCCCUGUUAGUGUAAUUAAACUGCCUGCUGGGGAAACCAUUGUGCAACACAAAAGCUUCCCUAGCUAGGUGGCCAACACAUUCAGUGUCACGAGGCUACCUCUGUCUGCUGCCCUCGGAGUAUGCUGUUGUGUAUUUAAAACACUGGAAGCAGAUCUCCCCAGCAAAUUUUCACCUGCGAGAGAUCUGUCUCUGAGACAUAUACAGAGGAUGGAGGUGUUCGUCUGCUUGUCUGCCAUCAAAGACCCGAUCGCUUCCUGCGUUGCAGAAAAUGCAGUGCAGCUCUCAGCCCCGUCCACCUCCACAAGUGGCUGACUGUCCACGGAGAACCAGCUGAAGCAGUUGGACUUGGUGCUUCUUAGAUCUGAGCCAAGUCAAAGCUCGAAGUGUCAUUGUCCACCAGUACUCGGAGGAGGGCUUAAAAACACUGCUUUGACCAGUUACUGUCAAAGAAAGUUUCUAGGAAGAGCUAUUCCAAACAUCAGUCUGUCCUUUUCACCACUGAAGGUAAAAUCAGGGUUUAUUUUAUUAUAUUAUAUUUGAACAGGCACCUCUCACUUCCUAGCUGACACCCAUGGUGGUGUCAGUGACCUUCAGAUUCAUCCACAUUUCUCCUGAGCAAGUUCAGAGCCACGGGCUGUGUUCCCUGCUCAAGUCUUAGACAGUCUGCCCUGCAUCGUUUUCUCUUUUUUCCCAUUGAUUAAUUUAUUUACUACUUUACAUCUGGAUGAAGCAUAACCCCUUUCUCUCUUUCCUGCAGUUCCUCCCCCUCCCCUUCCCCCCUCCCCUCCCUCCACACCUCUUCCAAGCUUAUCAUCUGGGGCUCCCUGUCCCCAUCUGGGGCUCCCGCCCUGCGUGUCUUGUCCCUUACAAUACACUAGACCCAGACAUUUUCCUGACUACCCCUGCUCAUCACUCAGAGCUGGCUCAGAUAUGACCUUUGAGGGAGCCUUCUCUACAACCCCAUCAUGUGGCUUCCUCCCUAUGCCCUCUGGGUCAAUCACAUGGCAUGGGUUUGCUUGUUCCCAGCUGUGUACAUCCCUCUAUGCUGAUCCUUUGACCUGUGUAUGUUCUAUCUCCUCACUCCAGUGUCAGCUCCAGGAGAAAGACCCUGCCCCUAUCCUGCCCUGCUUCUGCGUGGCUUUAAAUUGCUCUUUGUGUUAUACACUGCUGCGCCUUAAAAAAAAAAAAUUUCCAAAGACACUUUCUGUUUCCCAGAAAUUUUCAAAGUGUUUAGUGCAGGAAGAGACUGGGAGGAAGAAGGGACUGGACUGAAAGAAAAUGGUCCCUUGUGAUCUGGUGACAGAACCAGACAGAGCAGAUGUCAUAAGACUCCAGUUAUUUUCCAGCCCUGGUGUGGCAGUGGUGUGACCAGCAGCCAGUCAUACCACCCUGCCUUUCACAACCUUGAAGAGACACGUCACUCAGCUCUCUAAACCAGUUUGUCAGCUUCAUCAGUCCAGCACACAAGGGCAUCUAAGCAGCAGUCAACUCUAAAGAGGACAGAGCUGAGAGAAAUCGAAAGGAAAAAAAAAAAAACUAGGAGAAAGCUGUAGUUAUUCUCCUAAAUCAACCGACAAUGCAAUAGACGUUCACUGACUUUAAAACAGUAAGCACUGGGGUUUUGAGAAAACAGCUGAUGACCUUAAGAAUCAAGAAAGCAUGUCAGCAAUAAAUGAAAUAGAACCACUGUGUAUAUGACAUACAGCAAUGUUUCCAGUC